rnacentral:rRNA from 1 species
CCUACGGGGAGCAGCAGUAGGGAAUCUUUCACAAUGGGCGAAAGCCUGAUGGAGCAACGCCGCGUGCAGGAUGAAGGCCUUCGGGUUGUAAACUGCUUUUAUAAGCGAGAAAUAUGAUGGUAACUUAUGAAUAAGGAUCGGCUAACUACGUGCCAGCAGCCGCGGUCAUACGUAGGAUCCGAGCAUUAUCCGGAGUGACUGGGUGUAAAGAGUUGCGUAUGUGGCAUAAUAAGUAGCUAGUGAAAUCUGGUGGCUCAACCAUUCAGACUAUUAGCGAAACUGUUAAGCUCGAGACCGUUAGGGGUAACUGGAAGUUCUAGUGUAGGAGUGAAAUCCGUAGAUAUUAGAAGGAACACCAAUAGCGUAGGCAGGUUGCUGGGACGGUUCUGACACUAAGGCACGAAAGCGUAGGGAGCAAACGGGAUUAGAUACCCCGGUAGUC